CAAGACUCAAAUGAAGCACACUUAAAGGAAAGGGAUUGAUAAGCAUUGGAUUUAAAAGAAAAACAAAACGUUAAAGCUUUCCAGGAGAUGCUAAGAAGAGGAUUCUUGGAAAGCUGCUGGAGAUGUCUUGCCCUAACUGG